GCUUUCUUAGUUUAACUGGCAAAACAAUGCUCUUGUAAAGCAUAAUAGUAAGUUCGAGUCUUGCAGAAAGCUCCA
rnacentral:tRNA from 1 species